rnacentral:rRNA from 1 species
ACUUAUAAAUAAGCAAUUUUAAGUCCUUUCGUACAAUAAAAUUAUAAUAGGAAGAUAGAAUCCGACCUGACUUACGUCGGUCUAAACUCAAAUCAUGUAAGCUUUUAAUAGUCGAGCAGACUAACUAAUUAAAUUUCUACUUUCAAUAGUUAACUUAAUUCAACAUCGAGGUCAUAAUCUCCCCCACAAAUAAGAUCUCUGUGGGGGAAUUAUGCUGUUAUCCCUUAGGUAACUUUUUCUACAUAUCCAUUCUAAGGGAUCAUUAAUUUAAUUAAUGAUUUUUUUAUUAUCUAUAGAUAAAAAUUAUUAGAUCCGUCCCAGAUAAAUUUAUACUCAUCUUCUCAAGAAAAAUAUAAAUAAAGAUCUAAAGGGUCUUCUCGUCCCUCCUAAUCAAGUGGGAUUUUUCACCAACUUAUUAAUUUAUUAAACUAUAAAAAAGACAGUUUUAAUUCCGUCUAACCUUUCAUUCCAGUUUUCAAUUAAAAAACUAAUUAUUAUGCUACCUUAGUACAGUCAAGUUACUGCAGCAAUUAACUUACGCAUUGAGCAGGUCGGACCUUAAAUAAUUAAUUAAGGACAUGUUUUUAUUAAACAGGCGAAUUAAUUCUUUGCCGAGUUCCUAAAUUAUAUUUAUCAUUAAUACUAAUUGAAAGAUUAUUUUAAAUUAAAUAUUAUUAUAAAAAUUAGUUAAACGUAUAAAAAAUUCAACUCUGAAUAAAAUGAACUUACUUAAAUUUAUAAAAUUUUAAUUUAUGAAUUUUUAAUCUUUAGAGCUUAUCCCCUAAAGAUUAAAAUUUUCCUUAGAGAUUAGAAAAUAUUCAUUUAAAAUGAUAAUUUAACAACCAGAUAUAAUGAAAACCGAAUUACUUUUAACAACUUUUAAUAAUUAUUACUUAAUAUUUAAAUAUUAAAAUAAAAUAAAAAAAGAUCUUUUCCAUUCGGGAAUAAAGAUAAAUAAAUAUUUCCUAACACCCUGAUACAAAAGGUACAAUUCUAAUAUUUACUAUUCUUUUAUUAAUAUUGUUCAUUUCAGGUCUUUAUUAUGAUAUAUUUUAUACAAAUAAUUCUUGAAAAUAUGAUUUUAAUUAAAAAACUUAUAAACUUUUAAUAAAAUACUAGUA